rnacentral:rRNA from 1 species
GACGAACGCUGGCGGCGUGCUUAACACAUGCAAGUCGAACGGAAAGGCCCUGCUUUUGUGGGGUGCUCGAGUGGCGAACGGGUGAGUAACACGUGAGUAACCUGCCCUUGACUUUGGGAUAACUUCAGGAAACUGGGGCUAAUACCGGAUAGGAGCUCCUGCUGCAUGGUGGGGGUUGGAAAGUUUCGGCGGUUGGGGAUGGACUCGCGGCUUAUCAGCUUGUUGGUGGGGUAGUGGCUUACCAAGGCUUUGACGGGUAGCCGGCCUGAGAGGGUGACCGGCCACAUUGGGACUGAGAUACGGCCCAGACUCCUACGGGAGGCAGCAGUGGGAAAUAUUGCACAAUGGGCGGAAGCCUGAUGCAGCAACGCCGCGUGCGGGAUGACGGCCUUCGGGUUGUAAACCGCUUUCGCCUGUGACGAAGCGUCAGUGACGGUAAUGGGUAAAGAAGCACCGGCUAACUACGUG